rnacentral:rRNA from 1 species
AUGGCGACCGGCGCACGGGUGAGUAACGCGUAUGCAACUUACCUAUCAGAGGGGGAUAGCCCGGCGAAAGUCGGAUUAAUACCCCAUAAACAGGGGUCCCGCAUGGGAAUAUUUGUUAAAGAUUCAUCGCUGAUAGAUAGGCAUGCGUUCCAUUAGGCAGUUGGCGGGGUAACGGCCCACCAAACCGACGAUGGAUAGGGGUUCUGAGAGGAAGGUCCCCCACAUUGGUACUGAGACACGGACCAA